GAUCCUGGCUUAGAACUAACGCUGGCAGUGCGUCUUAAGCAUGCAAGUCAAACGGGAUGUAGCAAUACAUCUAGUGGCGAACGGGUGAGUAACGCGUGGAUGAUCUACCUACGAGAUGGGGAUAACUAUUAGAAAUAGUAGCUAAUACCGAAUAAAGUCAAUUAAUUUGUUAAUUGAUGAAAGGAAGCCUUUAAAGCUUCGCUUGUAGAUGAGUCUGCGUCUUAUUAGCUAGUUGGUAGGGUAAAUGCCUACCAAGGCGAUGAUAAGUAACCGGCCUGAGAGGGUGAACGGUCACACUGGAACUGAGAUACGGUCCAGACUCCUACGGGAGGCAGCAGCUAAGAAUCUUCCGCAAUGGGCGAAAGCCUGACGGAGCGACACUGCGUGAAUGAAGAAGGUCGAAAGAUUGUAAAAUUCUUUUAUAAAUGAGGAAUAAGCUUUGUAGGAAAUGACAAAGUGAUGACGUUAAUUUAUGAAUAAGCCCCGGCUAAUUACGUGCCAGCAGCCGCGGUAAUACGUAAGGGGCGAGCGUUGUUCGGGAUUAUUGGGCGU
rnacentral:rRNA from 1 species